rnacentral:rRNA from 1 species
CAGCAGCCGCGGGAACACGAAGGGUGCAAGCGUUACUCGGAAUUACUGGGCGUAAAGCGUGCGUAGGUGGUGGUUUAAGUCCGUUGUGAAAGCCCUGGGCUCAACCUGGGAAUUGCAGCGGAUACUGGAUCACUAGAGAGUGGUAGAGGAUAGUGGAAUUUCCGGUGUAGCAGUGAAAUGCGUAGAGAUCGGAAGGAACAUCUGUGGCGAAGGCGACUAUCUGGGCCAACACUGACACUGAGGCACGAAAGCGUGGGGAGCAAACAGGAUUAGAUACCCCCGUAGUCCCUGUCUCUUAUAC